rnacentral:misc_RNA from 1 species
GUGAAUCAUCGAAUUUUUGAACGCAAAUUGCACUCUCUGGCAUUCCGGAGAGUAUGCCUGUUUGAGGGUCAGUUUAAAUAAAAAUAGAGGUGUUGCUGUGUAGGGAGAAAUGGGAAUUGGGAUAAAUUUGACUUUUUAAAAAGUGUAAGUGAAGUAAAAUUGAUACAAUGUGAAUGUAAGACGUACAUAA